rnacentral:rRNA from 1 species
UACGUAGGGGGCAAGCGUUGUCCGGAUUUAUUGGGCGUAAAGAGCGUGUAGGCGGCUUGGUAGGUCUCGCGUCAAAACCUGAGGCUCAACCUCAGUUCGCGUGGGAAACCACCUAGCUAGAGUCCGGAAGAGGAGAACGGAAUACCGUGGUGUAGGCGGUGAAAUGCACAGAUAGUCAAGGAGGAACACCGGUGGCGAAGGCGGAUCUCUGGGCCGUAAGCUGACGCUGAGGAGCGAAAGCAUGGGGAGCGAACAGG